rnacentral:tRNA from 1 species
GCCGAUAUAGCUCAGCUGGUAGAGCAGCACUUUCGUAAAGUGAAGGUCGCCAGUUCGAAUCUGGCUAUCGGCUCCA